AGUCGAGCGGACAGAAGGGAGCUUGCUCCCGGAUGUUAGCGGCGGACGGGUGAGUAACACGUGGGUAACCUGCCUGUAAGACUGGGAUAACUCCGGGAAACCGGAGCUAAUACCGGAUAGUUCCUUGAACCGCAUGGUUCAAGGAUGAAAGACGGUUUCGGCUGUCACUUACAGAUGGACCCGCGGCGCAUUAGCUAGUUGGUGGGGUAAUGGCUCACCAAGGCGACGAUGCGUAGCCGACCUGAGAGGGUGAUCGGCCACACUGGGACUGAGACACGGCCCAGACUCCUACGGGAGGCAGCAGUAGGGAAUCUUCCGCAAUGGACGAAAGUCUGACGGAGCAACGCCGCGUGAGUGAUGAAGGUUUUCGGAUCGUAAAGCUCUGUUGUUAGGGAAGAACAAGUGCGAGAGUAACUGCUCGCACCUUGACGGUACCUAACCAGAAAGCCACGGCUAACUACGUGCCAGCAGCCGCGGUAAUACGUAGGUGGCAAGCGUUGUCCGGAAUUAUUGGGCGUAAAGGGCUCGCAGGCGGUUUCUUAAGUCUGAUGUGAAAGCCCCCGGCUCAACCGGGGAGGGUCAUUGGAAACUGGGAAACUUGAGUGCAGAAGAGGAGAGUGGAAUUCCACGUGUAGCGGUGAAAUGCGUAGAGAUGUGGAGGAACACCAGUGGCGAAGGCGACUCUCUGGUCUGUAACUGACGCUGAGGAGCGAAAGCGUGGGGAGCGAACAGGAUUAGAUACCCUGGUAGUCCACGCCGUAAACGAUGAGUGCUAAGUGUUAGGGGGGGUUUCCGCCCCCUUAGUGGCUGCA
rnacentral:rRNA from 1 species